rnacentral:rRNA from 1 species
GGCAUGCCUUACACAUGCAAGUCGAACGGCAGCACGGACUUCGGUCUGGUGGCGAGUGGCGAACGGGUAGUAAUACAUCGGAACGUGCCUGGUAGUGGGGGAUAACUACUCGAAAGAGUGGCUAAUACCGCAUGAGAUCUACGGAUGAAAGCAGGGGAUCGCAAGACCUUGUGCUACUAGAGCGGCCGAUGGCAGAUUAGGUAGUUGGUGGGAUAAAAGCUUACCAAGCCAACGAUCUGUAGCUGGUCUGAGAGGACGAUCAGCCACACUGGGACUGAGACACGGCCCAGACUCCUACGGGAGGCAGCAGUGGGGAAUUUUGGACAAUGGGCGAAAGCCUGAUCCAGCAAUGCCGCGUGCAGGAUGAAGGCCUUCGGGCUGUAAACUGCUUUUGUACGGAACGAAAAGCUUCGGGUUAAUACCUUGGAGUCAUGAC